AAGUCGCGCUGUGGCAGUCGCGGCGCAAGGUUACUUGCGCUGAGGAAAGUCCGAACAUCGCAUGGCAGGAUGCCGAACAAGGUUUCCGUUUGGGAAACACAAGUUCGGGCGAGCAGAAGCAAUUCUGUCUCGACAGAGUAGUGCAACAGAAAGCAUACCGCCACGUGCUGACACCACAGUACGGGGUAAGGGUGAAAAGGUGGUGUAAGAGACCACCAGUUGCUUCAGUAAUGAAGCAAGCUAUGCAAACCUCUCCGAUGCAAGACUAAGUAGGGAAGCUUUUUCAGUGAUGCCAAUCACUGAAAAGAGAGUAGCCAGCUCAAUCUGCCUUGGCAGGAGCUUCCGGGUAAGUCGCAUAGAGAAAUGACUGCCGCCCUGACCUUGUCAGGGUAACAGAAUUCGGCUUACGGGCGCGACUUUAUU
rnacentral:RNase_P_RNA from 1 species